rnacentral:ncRNA from 2 species
AAAUAAACAGGUGAUGGAGUUCACCUUUAACCGACUGAAUUGCUGAUAACUCCUUACAUUAC